rnacentral:rRNA from 1 species
AUUGAACGCUGGCGGCAUGCCUUACACAUGCAAGUCGAACGGCAGCACGGGAGCAAUCCUGGUGGCGAGCGGCGAACGGGUGAGUAAUAUAUCGGAACGUGCCCAGUCGUGGGGGAUAACGCAGCGAAAGCUGUGCUAAUACCGCAUACGAUCUAAGGAUGAAAGCGGGGGAUCGCAAGACCUCGCGCGAUUGGAGCGGCCGAUAUCAGAUUAGCUAGUUGGUGGGGUAAAGGCCCACCAAGACGACGAUCUGUAGCUGGUCUGAGAGGACGACCAGCCACACGGGAACUGGGACACGGUCCAGACGCCUACGGGAGGCAGCAGGGGGGAAUUUUGGACAAUGGGCGCAAGCCUGAUCCGCAAUGCCGCGUGCAGGAUGAAGGCCUUCGGGUUGUAAACUGCUUUUGUACGGAACGAAACGGCCCUUUCUAAUACAGGGGGCUAAUGACGGUACCGUAAGAAUAAGCACCGGCUAACUACGUGCCAGCCGCCGCCGUAA